rnacentral:pre_miRNA from 1 species
UGGACAGAUUAUUGUAUUCGACUGUAUUCACGACAUGAAACAGGUAUUACACUGUUUUUAAAUGGAAAGUGAAUCAAUUAACAUAAUAGACUCCU